rnacentral:rRNA from 1 species
GCGACGACGGGUAGCCGGCCUGAGAGGGCGUCCGGCCACACUGGGACUGAGACACGGCCCAGACUCCUACGGGAGGCAGCUGUGGGGAAUAUUGCACAAUGGGCGAAAGCCUGAUGCAGCGACGCCGCGUGAGGGAUGACGGCCUUCGGGUUGUAAACCUCUUUCAGCAGGGAAGAAGCGCAAGUGACGGUACCUGCAGAUACCUGCAGAAGAAGCGC